GAUGAACGCUGGCGGCGUGCCUAACACAUGCAAGUCGAGCGAUUCUCUUCGGAGAAGAGCGGCGGACGGGUGAGUAACGCGUGGGUAACCUGCCCUGUACACACGGAUAACAUACCGAAAGGUAUGCUAAUACGGGAUAAUAUAUUUUAGUCGCAUGGCUGAAAUAUCAAAGCUCCGGCGGUGCAGGAUGGACCCGCGUCUGAUUAGCUAGUUGGUGAGGUAAUGGCUCACCAAGGCGACGAUCAGUAGCCGACCUGAGAGGGUGAUCGGCCACAUUGGAACUGAGACACGGUCCAAACUCCUACGGGAGGCAGCAGUGGGGAAUAUUGCACAAUGGGCGAAAGCCUGAUGCAGCAACGCCGCGUGAGCGAUGAAGGCCUUCGGGUCGUAAAGCUCUGUCCUCAAGGAAGAUAAUGACGGUACUUGAGGAGGAAGCCCCGGCUAACUACGUGCCAGCAGCCGCCGUAACAC
rnacentral:rRNA from 1 species